CCAAAAGAAAGUUCCUUGUCAAUCCUUUUGCAACAAAGCUUAUUGGAUGAUACUGACUUGCUCCAUUUUCCAUCACAAAGCUGGAGGCUUCAUUGAAUCCAUCAUCUAACGACAACUUUGACUUGCAGCUUAGCUUCAGCUGUGCACCAGAUUCAUAGUUCAAUCCACUGUAAACAAAGCAGCCUUCAUUGUCUGCGGACUCCAAGG
rnacentral:misc_RNA from 1 species